rnacentral:rRNA from 1 species
ACGGGGGGGGCAAGCGUUGUUCGGAAUUACUGGGCGUAAAGGGCUCGUAGGCGGCCAACUAAGUCGGACGUGAAAUCCCUCGGCUUAACCGAGGAACUGCGUCCGAUACUGGAUGGCUAGAGUGUGGGAGAGGAAUGCGGAAUUCCAGGUGUAGCGGUGAAAUGCGUAGAUAUCUGGAGGAACACCGGUGGCGAAGGCGGCAUUCUGGACCACGACUGACGCUGAGGUGCGAAAGCGUGGGGAGCAAACAGGA